rnacentral:rRNA from 1 species
AUGUUAGCGGCGGACGGGUGAGUAACACGUGGGUAACCUACCUAUAAGACUGGGAUAACUCCGGGAAACCGGGGCUAAUACCGGAUAAUAUUUUGAACCGCAUGGUUCAAUAGUGAAAGACGGUUUCGGCUGUCACUUAUAGAUGGACCCGCGCCGUAUUAGCUAGUUGGUAAGGUAACGGCUUACCAAGGCUACGAUACGUAGCCGACCUGAGAGGGUGAUCUGCCACACUGGAACUGAGACACGGUCCAGACUCCUACGGGAGGCAGCAGUU